rnacentral:lncRNA from 1 species
AAACAAAAACAGAGGAAAACCAAAAAAAACAAGACUACAAAAAGACUUAGAUUAACUAAAACUAAAUUAAAAGCUACGUUAGAAUAUGAACAAGUAAAAGAAACAAAUAAAAGAGUUAGUAGAAUGAAAGAAAAUUCACCAAACUUGUGAUGAAAAUCACAAGUACGCUGAAAUAAUAUCACUGUGAAGUUGGCACCUUCCCCGGCAGCAGUGC